CCUGAGCCCUGGCUGAGAAUGAAGGGUUGUUCUUGAGGAGUCGUUGAAGCCCUAGGCAGAUUCAUACAAUCGGUAAAAACAGGGAUUUUCACACUCCCUGAAGCAAGAGUUAAUAAGAAGCCACACAGACUCGCUCAGAUUUCCUGUCAGACCUCUCCUCUGGAUCCUAUCAGAUUCCUGGGGCCUCCCAAAGGAUCCCACACGGGGCAUUGCAUCCAGGAACUGCCAUCCCACCACAGAACACUGCCCUGGAUUCUCAGGCCAGAGCCAGCACCAGGUCACUCAGGAUGCCACUCUUGUCCCUUCAGAAGCAAAGGAUUCAGGUAAACUGCCAAGGAGGCAAAGACCUGCAAUCCCAGCCGUCAGGAACGAAGCAAGACAAUCAUGAGUUUGAAGCCAACCUGGCUACAUGAUGAGACUCCGUCUCCGGCAAAUGAGCAAAGGAACUGAGUGGAAAGGCAGGCUCGGGAGAUGGUCUUGGGGAGAAUAAAGGUUCUGGCUCGAGCUCUGCAGGAGGAGUCACCCUUGUUGUCGGUCAGCACCUGGAACGUGAAUCUGUCCCAUCUCCAGAAAACACUAUUCCCGUCCCUGAGCCCCAGCUCCCUACCCCCUCACCUCCUUUAUCCCCCAAGACCACCUCCUGAUCAUGGUCUAUCGUGUGACUCACUUCAAAGAAGAGCCGUGCGUCUUUUCUUCUGUUAAUCAAUUGACUGAUUUUGGAAAGGGUCUCACGUAACUCAGGCUAGCCUUGUGAACUCCUGAACUCUUGACCUUCCCACCUCCACCUUGAGCGUGCAGAAAUGACAGGCACGCACUACCGCACCAGGUUCACGUGAUCCUGAGGAUUGAACCUGGGGCUUCCUGCAGGCUACGCAAGAGCUUUACCAACUGAGCCACGCCCCAGACCUGAAUAAAGUGACUUAAAAGAUAACUCACAAUCUAGACAGAAUAUGACAUUGAGGUAAGAACUAGAAUAUCUCAAAGACCAGGAAGAAAAGACUCUCAUGGCUAUGGUGACACACACGUGUAAUGCCAGCACUUGGGAGCUAAGACAGGAGAAUCGCCACAAGUUGGAGGCCAGCCUGGACAGUAUAACAAAACUCUGUUUUAACCCAUGAGAGGGACUGGAGGAGAAGCUAUCUCUACUCUCUUGUCUUCUUUUUAUUUUAAAGACUUUUAAAAAUUAAAUUUACUUAUUUACUUAAAUGGGCAGAGGUAUGAGCCUAGGUGUGCUUGUGGAAGCCAGAGGGUGACUUAUGGGGGUGGCAUCUGGCCUAGAGGUGCCUCACUUUCCACCGCACAGACGCUCCUCCUACGUCGUGGGGUCUAGGGAUCGAACGUUAGGUCAUCAGGGUUGGCGGGAAAGCACCUUUACCUGCUGAUCCAUAUUACCCUUCUUCCACUCUCUCCUCUACAGUCCUUCAAUCCUCCCCACCCCCGCAACACAAGAGUUUUUCAUUUUCAGAAAACUCUUCCCUAGCUCAUGUAGCUCAGACUUGUAAUCUUAGCACUUGAGAGCCCGAGGCAGGAGGAUUGCCACGAUUUUGAAGCCAUCAUGGGCUAUAGUGGAAAUUCUAAGCCAGGGUUUCUAUAGAGCAAGACCUUGUUUCAAACAA